UAUGUGAUCGUCUCUCGCAUAUCAAUAAGCGGAGGAAAAGAAACUAACAAGGAUUCCCCUAGUAACGGCGAGUGAAGCGGGAAGAGCUCAAAUUUGAAAUCUUAAAGGGUUUCCCUUUACGAAUUGUAGUUUAAAGAAGUGUUUUCUGUUGAGGUUUUGGUAAAAGUUCUUUGGAAUAGGGCAUCAUAGAGGGUGAGAAUCCCGUAUUUGACCUUUACUUUCAACUUUGUGAUACACCUUUCAAAGAGUCGGAUUGUUUGGGAAUGCAGUCCAAAAUGGGUGGUAAAUUUCAUCUAAAGCUAAAUAUUGGCGAGAGACCGAUAGCGAACAAGUACCGUGAGGGAAAGAUGAAAAGAACUUUGAAAAGAGAGUUAAACAGUACGUGAAAUUGUCAAAAGGGAAGCGUUCGACACCAGUGUUGUUUUUCUGAAAAUCAAUUAAAGAACUGUUUAUGCUAAGUUGUUUAGACUUUAUCAGCUAAUCUGCUUAGUUUUGAGCUUUUCUUUAAUGCACUUUUCAGUUAACAAGUCAACAUCAAUUUCUUUUGCUGUAAAAAAGCUUGAGGAAGGUGGCUUGAGAUUCGUCUUAAGUGUUUAUAGCCUCUUGCCUAUGCAGUCGGAGAGAUUGAGGUCUGCAGCGUAGAUCCUUCGGGGCUAAAUGCAUUUGUGCUAAGUUAUAGCAUUUUAUAGACAACUUGUUGACUAUGAUUUGUCUUGUAGCUUACUCGCUUAUGUUAUUUUACCUACGCUUAGGAUGUUGAAGACUCUACAGAGAU
rnacentral:rRNA from 1 species